GUCUUGUUCUUUCCUAAAGACGUUUAACAACCUAUAUUUGGUCAAUAAGGAUCUUGUUCUUUCCUCAAGACGUUCAGCAACCUAUAUCUUUGUCAAUAAGGGUCUUGUUCUUUCCUAAAGACAUUUAACAACCUAUAUUUGGUCAAGAAGGCUCUUGUUCUUUCCUAAAGACGUUCAACAACCUAUAUUUUGGUCAAUAAGGGUCUUGUUCUUUCCUCAAGACGUUCAACAACCUAUAUUUGGUCAAUAAGGGUCUUGUUCUUUCCUUAAGACGUUCAACAACCUAUAUUUGGUAAACAAGUGUCUUGUUCUUACCUAAAGACGUUCAACAACCUAAAUUUGGUGAUUAGGGUCUUGUUCUUUCCUAAAGAGGUUAAACAACCUAUAUUUGGUAAAUAAGGGUCUUGUUCCUUCUUAAAGACGUUUAACAACCUAUAUUUGGUCAAAAAGGGUCUUAUUCCUUCCUAAAGACGUUCAACAACCUAUAUUUGGUCAAUAAGGGUCUUGUUCUUUCCUAAAGACAUUUAACAACCUAUAUUUGGUCAAUAAGGCUCUUGUUCUUUCCUAAAGACGUUCAACAACCUAUAUUUGGUCAAUAAGGGUCUUGUUCUUUCCUUAAGACGUUCAACAACCUAUAUUUGGUCAAUAAGGGUCUUG
rnacentral:lncRNA from 1 species